AAUAUCAGAGCAUGACAUCCCCCCCCCCACCCUUCGUGAAGCCGCUCGAAGGAGAAGCGAAAGGGAGAAGCCCAGCGAGUAGAUCGGCGAAGAGAUGAGGGCCAAGUGGAAGAAGAAGCGAAUGAGGAGACUCAAGAGGAAGCGCCGAAAGAUGAGGCAGAGAUCCAAGUAGGUGAUGAAGGUAUUUGCUUCCCUGAUUCCACGUCUCACAGAAUGUGGUGGUGUCUCUCCUGGUUCAUCCACCUCAUGUUGAGAGUGUGUUAUAGGAGGCAAAGCUAUCUUUUGCCCCUUGAUUGCUUGUUUGGCAGUUGUAGAACUAGGAUAUUUUGCUUAGCAGAUUAACAUUUGUGUUUUGUUUGAUAAUUGAGAAUUUGUUUAAGGCAUUUCAUCUGGAAACAAUUCAAUGAUUUCUAGUUUCCAUCAAGCUUUGUUUGGAAAUGGUUGUGCGCUGAGUGAAUGUGUAUAUGCUAUUUCUUAGCAGUAUUUCACCCAGUUUUUUCUUUAUAGGCCAUGUUUCUGAGACUGUGUUUAAUGUGAAACAAGGAUGAGCAUGUUAAAUAUUAAGAUCUGA